AGUGAGUAGUUGAACUCACAUCACUCUUUGGAAGAGUUUUUCCUGUACUUACUAAACUCCUGCUAUAUGCUGGGCACAAUUCUACAUGCUAGAGAUACUCACUGGUUCAGUGCCCACUGCAGAAGGACAAAUGAUACAUAGCAUGAAUUAAAUGACCACAGAACAUGGCAAGCUACUCUAAAUACAACAGGAAUUGGCUCACACAAUUAUGGAGUCUGCUGAAUCCCAAGACCUGCAGUCUUCAAGCUGGUGACCUAAAGGGGCCAAAGUGUGAGUUCUAGUUUAAAUGCUGGCAGCCUUGAGACCCAGAAAAAGCUGAUGUUUCAGUUCAAGUCUGGAGGCAGGAAAAAAAACCUGUCUGAGCUCAAGGUAAGAGAAAGUCCCUCUUAAUCACGGGAGGGUCAGCCUUUUUGUUCUAAUCAG